GUGGGGAAUAUUGCACAAUGGGCGAAAGCCUGAUGCAGCAACGCCGCGUGAGCGAAGAAGGCCUUUGGGUCGUAAAGCUCUGUCCUUGGGGAAGAAACAAAUGACGGUACCCAAGGAGGAAGCCCCGGCUAACUACGUGCCAGCAGCCGCGGUAAUACGUAGGGGGCAAGCGUUAUCCGGAAUUAUUGGGCGUAAAGAGUACGUAGGCGGUUACUUAAGCGUGGGGUGAAAGGCUAUGGCUUAACCAUAGUAAGCCUUGCGAACUGGGUAACUUGAGUGCAGGAGAGGAAAGCGGAAUUCCUAGUGUAGCGGUGAAAUGCGUAGAUAUUAGGAGGAACACCAGUGGCGAAGGCGGCUUUCUGGACUGUAACUGACGCUGAGGUACGAAAGCGUGGGUAGCGAACAGGAUUAGAAACCCUAGUAGUCC
rnacentral:rRNA from 1 species